UACGGAGGGGGCUAGCGUUGUUCGGAAUUACUGGGCGUAAAGGGCGCGUAGGCGGCGAUCCAAGUUAGGCGUGAAAGGCCUGGGCUCAACCCGGGAACUGCGCUUGAUACUGGAUUGCUUGAGUCCGGGAGAGGAUGGCGGAAUUCCCAGUGUAGAGGUGAAAUUCGUAGAUAUUGGGGAGAACACCGGUGGCGAAGGCGGCCAUCUGGACCGGAACUGACGCUGAGGCGCGAAAGCGUGGGGAGCAAACAGG
rnacentral:rRNA from 1 species